UGCCCAAUGAGGAAUUAAAUGGCCGCAGUAUUUUGACUGUGCAAAGGUAGCAUAAUUAUUAGUUUUUUAAUUGAAAGCUUGUAUGAAGGGUUGGACGAGAUAAAAUCUGUCUUUAUUUAAAUUACAAUAGAAUUUAACUUUUAAGUCAAAAGGCUUAAAUGUAUAUAAAAGACGAGAAGACCCUAUAGAUCUUUAUUUAAUUAAUAUUUUGAUAAUUUAAGAUUAUUUUAGUUUAAAGUUUUAAUUAAAUUUUAUUGGGGUAAUAUAAAGAUUAAAUAAAUUCUUUUUAUUUAUUACAUUGAUUUAUGAAUAUAUGAUCCAAUAUUAUUGAUUAUAAGAUUAAGUUACCUUAGGGAUAACAGCGUAAUUUUUUUGGAGAGCUCAUAUCGAUAAAAAAGUUUGCGACCUCGAUGUUGGAUUAAAAAUUAGCUUGGGUGCAGAAGCUCAAGAUUUUGGUCUGUUCGACCAUUAAAUUUUUACAUGAUCUGAGUUCAGACCGGCGUAAGCCAGGUCGGUUUCUAUCUUUAUUUAUCUAAAAUAUUUUAGUACGAAAGGACCAAAUAUUUAAUAUAAUUAUAUUUAUUUUUUGAAUAAUAUU
rnacentral:rRNA from 1 species